rnacentral:rRNA from 1 species
GAUGAACGCUGGCGGCGUGCCUAAUACAUGCAAGUCGAGCGAACGGACGAGAAGCUUGCUUCUCUGAUGUUAGUGGCGGACGGGUGAGUAACACGUGGAUAACCUACCUAUAAGACUGGGAUAACUUCGGGAAACCGGAGCUAAUACCGGAUAAUAUUUUGAACCGCAUGGUUCAAAAGUGAAAGACGGUCUUGCUGUCACUUAUAGAUGGAUCCGCGCUGCAUUAGCUAGUUGGUAAGGUAACGGCUUACCAAGGCAACGAUGCAUAGCCGACCUGAGAGGGUGAUCGGCCACACUGGAACUGAGACACGGUCCAGACUCCUACGGGAGGCAGCAGUAGGGAAUCUUCCGCAAUGGGCGAAAGCCUGACGGAGCAACGCCGCGUGAGUGAUGAAGGUCUUCGGAUCGUAAAACUCUGUUAUUAGGGAAGAACAUAUGUGUAAGUAACUGUGCACAUCUUGACGGUACCUAAUCAGAAAGCCACGGCUAACUACGUGCCAGCAGCCGCGGUAAUACGUAGGUGGCAAGCGUUAUCCGGAAUUAUUGGGCGUAAAGCGCGCGUAGGCGGUUUUUUAAGUCUGAUGUGAAAGCCCACGGCUCAACCGUGGAGGGUCAUUGGAAACUGGAAAACUUGAGUGCAGAAGAGGAAAGUGGAAUUCCAUGUGUAGCGGUGAAAUGCGCAGAGAUAUGGAGGAACACCAGUGGCGAAGGCGACUUUCUGGUCUGUAACUGACGCUGAUGUGCGAAAGCGUGGGGAUCAAACAGGAUUAGAUACCCUGGUAGUCCACGCCGUAAACGAUGAGUGCUAAGUGUUAGGGGGUUUCCGCCCCUUAGUGCUGCAGCUAACGCAUUAAGCACUCCGCCUGGGGAGUACGACCGCAAGGUUGAAACUCAAAGGAAUUGACGGGGACCCGCACAAGCGGUGGAGCAUGUGGUUUAAUUCGAAGCAACGCGAAGAACCUUACCAAAUCUUGACAUCCUUUGACAACUCUAGAGAUAGAGCCUUCCCCUUCGGGGGACAAAGUGACAGGUGGUGCAUGGUUGUCGUCAGCUCGUGUCGUGAGAUGUUGGGUUAAGUCCCGCAACGAGCGCAACCCUUAAGCUUAGUUGCCAUCAUUAAGUUGGGCACUCUAAGUUGACUGCCGGUGACAAACCGGAGGAAGGUGGGGAUGACGUCAAAUCAUCAUGCCCCUUAUGAUUUGGGCUACACACGUGCUACAAUGGACAAUACAAAGGGCAGCGAAACCGCGAGGUCAAGCAAAUCCCAUAAAGUUGUUCUCAGUUCGGAUUGUAGUCUGCAACUCGACUACAUGAAGCUGGAAUCGCUAGUAAUCGUAGAUCAGCAUGCUACGGUGAAUACGUUCCCGGGUCU